GUUGGCCAGGACCGCAGUGGAAGCGUGGAUGGCCAGGAGCUGCAGAAGGCCGUUGCCAGCUUUGGCUACGGUUUGAGUCCUCAGGCGCUGAACAUCAUCAUGAAGCGCUACAGCCUGAACGGCAGGAUCACCUUCGACGAGUUCCUGAGCUGCUGCAUCCGACUGCGCAUCCUGACGGAUCAGUUCAGAAGAAGAGACACAACCCAAACUGGUUGCGCCGCGUUUCAGUACGAUGACUUCAUCCAGGUCACCAUGGGCGUCUGAAGAGGAACCACAGCAGAAACAUCACAUUCUCCCCUUAACAGCAUGUGAUCGUUAUAUGGACCCGAUGUCUUUUACUUUUUAUUAUAUCUCUUGUAUUUACGAGAUUAAGAUGUCACUGUAACAUUCCAUUUCAUACUAAACGUUAAACAUGUCUCUGCCUUCACCUCAGUAACUGUACAUGUGAUCAUGUGUGAAGUUAAUAAACAUGUAGCGUGUC